rnacentral:rRNA from 1 species
UACGGAAGGCAGCAGUGGGGAAUAUUGCACAAUGGGCGCAAGCCUGAUGCAGCCAUGCCGCGUGUAUGAAGAAGGCCUUCGGGUUGUAAAGUACUUUCAGUCGUGAGGAAGGUGUUAAGGUUAAUAACCUUAGCAAUUGACGUUAGCGACAGAAGAAGCACCGGCUAACUCCGUGCCAGCAGCCGCGGUAAUACGGAGGGUGCGAGCGUUAAUCGGAAUUACUGGGCGUAAAGGGCACGCAGGCGGUUAAUUAAGUUGGAUGUGAAAUCCGCGGGCUUAACCUGGGAAUGGCAUUCAAGACUGGUUAGCUAGAGUCUUGUAGAGGGGGUAGAAUUCCAUGUGUAGCGGUGAAAUGCGUAGAGAUGUGGAGGAAUACCGGUGGCGAAGGCGGCCCCUGGGACAAAGGCUGACGCUCAUGUGCGAAAGCGUGGGGAGCAAACGAGGAUUAGAUA